rnacentral:rRNA from 1 species
GCGUGGAGGACGAAGGCCUUCGGGUCGUAAACUCCUGUCAGUUGGGACGAAAAGCCGUCGGUCAAUAGCCGGCGGUCCUGACGGUACCAGCAGAGGAAGCCCCGGCUAACUCCGUGCCAGCAGCCGCGGUAAUACGGAGGGGGCGAGCGUUAUUCGGAAUUAUUGGGCGUAAAGGGCGCGCAGGCGGCUUGGUAGGUCAAAGGUGAAAUCCCUCAGCUCAACUGAGGAACUGCCUUUGAAACCACCUCGCUAGAGGCUGGGAGGGGAUAGCGGAAUUCCCGGUGUAGCGGUGAAAUGCGU